rnacentral:rRNA from 1 species
CUCUGUUCACACAUCCACUCACACCUGUGCACCUUCUGUAGUUUCUAUGGUUUGGGGGACCCCGUCUUCCUUCCAUGGUUCUACGUCUUUACACACACACCGUAAUAAAGUCUUAUGGAACGUAUGCCGCGUUUAACGCAAUACAAUACAACUUUCAGCAACGGAUCUCUUGGCUCUCGCAUCGAUGAAGAACGCAGCGAAAUGCGAUAAGUAAUGUGAAUUGCAGAAUUCAGUGAAUCAUCGAAUCUUUGAACGCACCUUGCGCCCCUUGGUUAUUCCGAAGGGCAUGCCUGUUUGAGUAUCAUGAACACCUCAACUCUCAUGGUUUUCCAUGAUGAGCUUGGACUUUGGGGGUUUUGUUGGCUUGGAGUCAACUCCUCUCAAAUGGAUCACCUUGCCAGUGUUUGGUGGCAUCACGGGUGUGAUAAAUAUCUACGCUCAUGGCCGUCCACCAGGUAACUUCCAGCGAUGGAGGUUCGCUGGAGCUUAUAAACGUCUCUCCUCGGCGAGGACAGCUUUUUGAACGUUCGAUCUCAAAUCAGGUAGGACUACCCGCUGAACUUGAACAUAUCAAU